UAUGCAUGAUGCUUAUGUAUACAACUUCCCACCAUCGCAUCCGACAGCAGUCUUUCGAGACGUUUUGGUACACGCACCACCUGUUCAUUCCCUUCCUGCUGGCCCUCUACA